ACAUGCUGGGUGAGCAAAGCCUUAGUUCACCAGGGGUUGAUGACCCAAUGGUUACCCUCACAAAGUUUGGCCGGCCUGUAGAAGUCGUUGGCCCAGGGUGUGGCCGCUGCCGCAUGCUAGCAGCUACUGGGAGCCACAAGUGAGAGCUGAGUGUCAGGUGAGGGUCAGAGGUUGGAGAGCUGCCCUAAAAAAAAUAAAAAUAAAUAAAUAGGGAAUUAAUAAAAUAUGUAAGAGCAGAGGCCAUUUCUAGCUUCAAAAGUUAAUACUAGAAAGAAAUAAAAUUUUAAAAAAUAAAGAAAAUGUAAUAAAAGAAUUAUAAAUUAUCAAUAAUGUUACAUCCCAAAUAAUAAUCAGAUAAGUGAAAAGAAAAACUGUUCUAAGGUUUUUAAAUCAGGUCUAUCAAAGUGCCAAAGAAGAUAAAUAACAAAAAGUCAGUAUUCAAGGAAUUAUGAGAAGAUGAACAAUGAAUAUGCUGUUACAGAAAUUAUAAAUUGCUUUUACCAUUUUGGAAAAUAAUUUGGAAAUAUAAGAGAAAAAUCAUUAAACUGUUAAUACCCUGUGAGUGAUCCUAUUACUAGGCAUAUAACCCUUUGAUGCCAAAGACAGAAAGAAAAACUCCUAUACCACACUCUUCCUAUCAGCCACUUUUCAUAUUCAUUUGAACUCAACAAAUAUAAAAUUCCUAAUGUAUGAAAAGGAAAAAUAGAGAUUUAAGGCUCUACUAGAGGUCAAAUUGAAACAAUGAAAGAAGAUCAUUUUUAUAAAUACCUUGUUCUCUUCAGGCACUGGGAAUAAAGAUAUCGGGGAGAAAGCUGUAGCUGUGUAUGUCCCAAGAUUAUUGUUAUCUCAAAAGCUAAUCUCAAUUAGAAAAUUUUAAAUCAACUAGCAUCUAUAUAAUGAUCGUGUUAAUUUAUGCCUUUAGAACUAUAAUAAGGUGCCAUAACUAACUUGGAAUGUAGUUCAACAAAAACCUGUAGAUUGUUAAUGAAAUGCAAGGUCUGUCAUCCUAAGGCAACUAUAGGACAAUUAAUGUCCUAGAUAGAAAGGAAGAAACAGAUUGAAAGACAUCCUUGGAGUAUAUGACAAAUGUAUCAAAAACCUAGAGAAACUUUUUUUUUUUCGUAAAGUAAACAUCAUUUUACUAAGCAAAAGUCAUGGUUGAUAACAGGUGCAUGCCAUUGGAAUUGUUUAAUGUAACCAAGAAAUGGUUUCUAUCUAGAUGAAACCUGUGAAAUACCAUAGUUUUAAGAGUGGAAUUAAAGACCUUUCCUAGGUGAUAUCCACAUGAAUUCAGCUAACAACAAUGUCAACAAGGAAGUGCCAGUCAGUGGCUGAGAUGGAUUUAUAGAAAUGGAGAGAUUUAUGAUAAUUUGAAGACUAACUCAUCACUCUUGCCUGAAUUAUAAAAGGGAGUUUUACCAAGGCUAAUUAUACAAAGAAAUGGUUAGAAAGUAUUCAAUGCAUCCUGCAGACUGCAGAAAUUUAACACCUGCUAAAUGCUUUAGUAAGACAUGACCUGGUAACUAUAAUUAUAUAUUCGAAGAUUGCUUUCUUUUCCAGGACUAAUGGUGAGAAAAAUAGCCAUAGUACGAAUACAGGCAUAGAAAUAGCAUCAAACAUUUGCUCUACUAGAAUUGAAACAUUAUCACAGACCAAACUGUUGCUUACCAUUUCCCAGACAUGGCACUUUAGUAACAUCUCCAUAACAAAUACUCAUAAUCUCCUAUUGACAUGAAACUGGACUCUUACAAAAUAAUGAGAUCUAGCAGAAGAAAACAAAAUCACGUGGGUACAAGAUGAACAGGGUGUCACUUGCCUCGUCCUUUCUCUAUGAUUCGAGUUGCAGCAUGGAUGCUUUCAAUGAGCCUAAAGACAAUAAGCUUCCAUCCCAAUACUUUUUUUUCCAACUAUAAAAAGAAGUUAUUUUAUCCACCUGUGCAAGAGUUCACAGAACAUUAAAUACAAGGGAAUAAUAGCAGGAUAAUGACUUGUCCCAGGAUUGUCUCUCUCUAAACUCCAUUGAACAAAAGAGAAUGAUUUUUUUCUAUAAUGAUGACAGCAGACAUUUACAAGGAACUUUCAGAUUUAUAAAACAUUUCAUAUAUAUUUUCUUACUGGAGUCUCACAACAACUCUAGGGAGUCACAUUAUUAUUAUGUUCCCUUUACAAAUAAGGAAACUGAGGUUCAGAGAAAUUAAAGACCACUUCUGUGGUCACAGAGAGUAUAAAUCUAUUACAGUUGCAUUAUCUUUCUGGAUGCCUGUUGCCUAUAGCAUUGCUCUUAGUAUGAGAACUACAAAUAUUCCAGUGUGUAAUUAAUGCAUGAAUCCUUGACGUCCUGUGCCCUCUCCAGAAACCCUGCCUGUUCAUACAGUAUCUCAGGAGUUCAGAAAGGGUUGAGUGUGGAGAAUGGGAGUCACAGAUGUUUAUGAAUCUUCUAUUCAUUUCCAGGUGCAGAUUUAGUGUUAAGUCUGUGAUUUGACCUUCCUACUCACACUUUCUGAACUACACAGUUCAAUAGAUUGCAUGUUGAAGAACUGGCUUCGGGUCCUGUCCCACUCCUCUCUCAUUAGGUCUCAGAUAGAAUAAUCUCUCUCUUCCUUCUCUACACUUACUUUUGCUCUUCUCUCCCACACACAGUUUAAGAAUCCCAAGGGAAAGAAGGAAAAAAACCCUAUUUUACAUAUAGUUCUUCAGCAAAACACAGGAUCCCCUCAGAAGUUUCUAAAAAACAUGAUACUUUAAUUAUGUAUUUUACAUAUUAAGGUUCAUUAUAAACUUACUACUGAACACCAGUUAAUUAAACUUGCUAGGUUACUAUGUUUUAAUAAAUUAAAUUCAAUGCAUAUGAUAAUAACUUCAUUCACUCUAUUAGAAUUUUUAGUUUACUCAUUUAAACACAUUUCUAUUAUGUGUUCUCAGUUGCUGUUUUCUUUCUGCUUUUUACUCCAGAAUAUUUUACCAAAUUCUUUUGAUAUUUCUUUGUAUUUAUUAGUCUUUUUAUUAUAUUAUUGUAUUCCAUUAUACUUUUGGGCCAAAACUUAUUUAACUAUUCCCUUUUAGUUGGAUAUUUAGGUUUUUUCCAGGUGUUGUUUUUACUUUAAUAGCAACACAAUAUUGCUAUGAAAACCAUCGACAGGUAGCCCUUUAUUUUUAUUGUUUUUUUUUAACAUUUUCAGAGUACUUUCCCAACAAUGGAAUUAUCUGGUGAAAAGUUAUGAUUAUUUUUGUAAACUUUCCUGCCUACUGGUAAAUUUAAGAGUUCAUUCCUCAGUGCUUACAUAUAGUAGGUGCCUAACAAAUAAAUGUUGAUCAAUGGGAAGAGCCUGAGAGCAGUGGAAAGGGUUCUUCUGCUUUUGUCUUGCCCAUUUUGUGGGGAGACCCCCUUCCUUUUGGUCCACUUUGUAUUUGUACUCUCUCCGGGCUGGUGCUCUCCCAUCCCAUUCCAUCACUCCCUUCCCCUUUUUCUGGCUUGCUUCCUCUACAUCAGCCCUGCUUCUUGCCUAGUCAACUGAGCUCUACUCUGUUCUGCACCCUUAGGUACCCAUCUUCUCUACUCCCUGGCUCUCCAGGCCUGGAGGCACCUGUUCUCCCUGUGCCCUGGAGAAGAAGCAGGGCAACAAGGGUGAGGUGUGCAGGGAACUGAUUUUCAGGCCACUCUGCAAGCAGUCGUUUCUGUGCUUGACUUUUCUGCCUGUGGGCUCAGAGGCCCUCUGUUGUUCCAGUUUCUCCGCCCUUGUUUGCAACCCAUUAGCCAGGCCUGAGCUUGACCGUGUUUUUUACCUGAAACCCAAAGAUAGCCUACAAAGAGCUUAUUCCACAAGGUUCCCCAAGCAGGGGCAAGCAGACAGCCAGGCAACAGAAGCCAGUGCCCACUGUGACUACUCAGUAAUGGGUGGCCCCCCUUUGUCCAUCUUAUUAUUCCUUUCAGGAGGUCCUGGAUGGAUGUUUUUUCUUCUUUGUCCCAAGUCCCAAGACUUUUCCUCAGCAGGUCUGUCAGUGUCCUGGUUAAUGGUAGCAAUUCUGCCAAUGAGAAGAGGGACUUGGGAUUUUCUGCUGAAAACUCUGUCCUAUACACCUGCCUGAGGCUUCUGAAUGCGUCAGGAUUUCCCUUGGAACUCCCACUAAAUACCUGCUCACCACACUGCCCUGACUUUGCUGUAGUAUGUACACCUGACUCAUUUUUACUCUUCUUUUCCAACUUUUAUAUUACAGAAGGCAGAGGUCUUGUUGCCUACUAAGGGAGGGGAAGGAAGGCUCUAUUAUUUCUCAAGUCUGCCAUAUACAAGAGGAAGAUUGGGAUGUCUGGAUAACGAUGGUCCAGAAUCCAUUCAGUCACUUAUGUGGGGCACUGAAAUAGAGAAGCAGACUGACGGUCUGUGUUCUGGCCAGUGUCAAAGAUGGUGCUUCUGGGGAUGAGAAAGACUGGAUGGGAUUUUCCCCUGACAACUGCCAGAGGCUCCUCAUGAUCAGAACAAGAUCUGUGAUGAUCUUGACAAGAUCUUAGCUUUGAACUCCCUCUAAAUGGCUAUUCCCUGACCAUUUGGAUUUUAUAACUUUGGAAAACAUGUGAAAAUUUGUUAUUAAAAUAAAAUAAAAUGACUUCUCCCUACAA